rfam:Selaginella moellendorffii unplaced genomic scaffold SELMOscaffold_38, whole genome shotgun sequence.
UCUCUGCUGUGAUGCCAUUGAUUUUACAUGUUAGACUAUGGAGAUGGAUUCAAUCCAUCGCUGAGAACAACGCACUCGUUGCCUGAGCAGAGA